UGUUUGGAUGUGGGGGUUUGCUGGCCUCUUUAAAAAGGAUUUUAGCUCCCCUGAAAUGCAUUAGCAGAAACAACCCUGUUCAUCGGUGUGAUAACUAUCUACGCUAUUGAAUGUGAAGGGCGGUUUGGCUUUCUAACGGUCCUUGGACAGCUCAUCAUUAAUGUGACCUCAAAUCAGGUAGGACUACCCGCUGAACUUAA
rnacentral:misc_RNA from 1 species